UGCCAGCAGCCGCGGUAAUACGUAGGGUGCGAGCGUUGUCCGGAAUUACUGGGCGCAAAGAGCUCGUAGGUGGUUUGUCGCGUCGUUUGUGGAAUACCGCAACUUAACUGCGGGGUUGCAGGCGAUACGGGCAUAACUUGAGUGCUGUAGGGGAGACUGGAAUUCCUGGUGUAGCGGUGGAAUGCGCAGAUAUCAGGAGGAACACCGAUGGCGAAGGCAGGUCUCUGGGCAGUAACUGACGCUGAGGAGCGAAAGCAUGGGGAGCGAACAGGACUAGAUACCCUGGUAGUCCAUGCCGUAAACGGUGGGCGCUAGGUGUGAGUCCCUUCCACGGGGUUCGUGCCGUAGCUAACGCAUUAAGCGCCCCGCCUGGGGAGUACGGCCGCAAGGCUAAAACUCAAAGGAAUUGAUCGGGGGCCCGCACAAG
rnacentral:rRNA from 1 species